rnacentral:lncRNA from 1 species
ACGCCCACAUUAUUCUCAGAUUAGAUCUGAGAUGGAGAGAGAUUAGAGAGAGAGAAAGAGAAGGAGAAAGCGGUUCUCUUCUCUUCUUGGCAUCCAUUUUAGUUUUUGAUGGAUUAACGCGAAGGGUUUGUGCUGCAGCCCUCUUUUUCGAGAUCUAGAAGAAAAAAUCCAGAUCCAAAGCUGAGGAGCGAGGUCUAUAAGGUGCUAGCACACCGAUGGUCUUGGUGUUUCGAUCAGACAUCUCUAUGUAGAUAUCAGCAGAGGUCAGGCACUUGCGUGGCUCAGAUGCAAAUCCUGAACGUCUGCAGGAUUUGAAGCAAUUAGGUAUGG